GUAUUGCUGAAGAGUCCCAUACUCGGAUGAAACAACUGUCCAGUAC
rnacentral:hammerhead_ribozyme from 1 species